GUCGCCGUAGCUCAGGGGCCAGAGCGCCGCGCUCAUAACGUGGAGGACGGUGGUUCGAGACCACCCGGCGAUA
rnacentral:tRNA from 1 species